rnacentral:tRNA from 3 species
UGGUCGGGAUAGCUCAGCUGGUAGAGCAGAGGACUGAAAA